ensembl:snRNA U6 U6 spliceosomal RNA
GUGCUCCCUUUGGCAGCACAUACACUAAAAUUGGAACAAUACAGAGAAGAUUAGCAUGGCCCCCAUGCAGCGAGCGCUCAGAAGUUCGUGAAGCAUUUCAUGUUUCC